rnacentral:lncRNA from 1 species
UUUAGUUGAAAAUUAGGGCUAAGAAAAUCACACCUUUAGAGGUGUAAUUUGGAUGGAUUUCAGAAAUAAAAAUAUCCACAUUACAAUAGCACAAAAACUCGCUCAUCAUUGUUUCGCCUCGUUGUUCAAUCUCGAAAACAGUGAUUCUCGGUGAACGUCGACCUUCAGUUUCAGGUAUGAGAAACGUUGAACCACUUCUUCUCCAUAUCGUAUAUGCUCCAUUCAAUGAGAUGAUUCAAUUGGUGGAGAAAAUUCGGGAAACUAUACCGAACAAAGCAGAAAAUCGACCGACAAGACGAACGGCGUCGGCGGAGGAGGAGCUGGAAGAUCUGCAUGUCCUGUCAUGUCCUAAAAUCACAUGUUUUCCAUGAUCAAUCUCUGGUUAUUUUCUCCAGUUUAUACAAUGUGGAAGGGUUUCAAUUUCUAAAUUGCAGCUCUAUGUAUUUUUAAAACAAAAUUGAUGAGAAGCUUGAACAUAGAAUUGUAAAGUCACGAAGGUUUCUUUUCUCAUAGCCAUAAAUAAGCCACAAUUUACAUCUCAGAACACUUGUUUAUAUGAAUGAAGUUGCAAAAGUGGUUAUCUUAACUCCAUAUCUCUCAAGAUGAACUCCAUCAAUAUGCAAAAAACCCUUUAGAAAAUACUUAAAACAGAAUUAUAAAGAAGGGAUAAUUAAUGGAUUACUUAACUAGAAGUAUAAAAGUUUACUAGGUUGUAAUAG